ACGUAGGGACCAAGCGUUGUUCGGAUUUACUGGGCGUAAAGAGCGCGCAGGCGGUUGGUCAAGUCGAAUGUGAAAGCCCCCGGCUCAACUGGGGAGGGUCAUUCGAUACUGGUCGACUCGAAGGCAGGAGAGGGACGUGGAAUUCCCGGUGUAGUGGUGAAAUGCGUAGAUAUCGGGAGGAACACCAGUGGCGAAGGCGGCGUCCUGGCCCGGUAUUGACGCUGAGGCGCGAAAGCCAGGGGAGCAAACGGGA
rnacentral:rRNA from 1 species